rnacentral:rRNA from 1 species
GAUGAACGCUGGCGGCGUGCCUAAUACAUGCAAGUCGAGCGAACGGAGGAGAAGCUUGCUUCUCUGAUGUUAGCGGCGGACGGGUGAGUAACACGUGGAUAACCUACCUAUAAGACUGGGAUAACUUCGGGAAACCGGAGCUAAUACCGGAUAAUAUUUUGAACCGCAUGGUUCAAAAGUAAAAGACGGUCUUGCUGUCACUUAUAGAUGGAUCCGCGCUGCAUUAGCUAGUUGGUAAGGUAACGGCUUACCAAGGCAACGAUGCAUAGCCGACCUGAGAGGGUGAUCGGCCACACUGGAACUGAGACACGGUCCAGACUCCUACGGGAGGCAGCAGUAGGGAAUCUUCCGCAAUGGGCGAAAGCCUGACGGAGCAACGCCGCGUGAGUGAUGAAGGUCUUCGGAUCGUAAAACUCUGUUAUUAGGGAAGAACAUAUGUGUAAGUAACUGUGCACAUCUUGACGGUACCUAAUCAGAAAGCCACGGCUAACUACGUG